UACGUAGGGGGCUAGCGUUGUCCGGAAUCAUUGGGCGUAAAGCGCGUGUAGGCGGUCCGGUAAGUCCGCUGUGAAAGCCAGGGGCUCAACCCUUGGAUGCCGGUGGAUACUGUCGGGCUUGAGUACGGAAGAGGCGAGUGGAAUUCCUGGUGUAGCGGUGAAAUGCGCAGAUAUCAGGAGGAACACCCGUGGCGAAGGCGGCCUUCUGGGUCCGCCCUGACGCUGAGGCGCGAAAGCGUGGGGAGCGAACGGG
rnacentral:rRNA from 1 species